rnacentral:rRNA from 1 species
AAGCAGGGGACGUAAGGCCUUGCGCUUUUGGAGCGGCCGAUGUCUGAUUAGCUAGUUGGUGGGGUAAAGGCCUACCAAGGCGACGAUCAGUAGUUGGUCUGAGAGGACGACAGCCACACUGGGACUGAGACACGGCCCAGACUCCUACGGGAGGCAGCAGUGGGGAAUUUUGGACAAUGGGCGCAAGCCUGAUCCAGCAAUGCCGCGUGAGUGAAGAAGGCCUUCGGGUUGUAAAGCUCUUUCAGUCGAGAAGAAAAGGCUACGGUGAAUAAUCGUAGUCCAUGACGGUACCGACAGAAGAAGCACCGGCUAACUACGUGCCAGCAGCCGCGGUAAUACGUAGGGUGCGAGCGUUAAUCGGAAUUACUGGGCGUAAAGGGUGCGCAGGCGGCUUUGUAAGUCAGAUGUGAAAUCCCCGGGCUUAACCUGGGAAUUGCGUUUGAAACUACAAAGCUAGA